rnacentral:rRNA from 1 species
UACGGGGGGGGCAAGCGUUGUUCGGAAUUACUGGGCGUAAAGGGUUCGUAGGUGGCUGGCUAAGUCAGACGUGAAAUCCCUCAGCUUAACUGGGGAACUGCGUGUGAUACUGGAUGGCUUGGAUUUGGGAGAGGGAUGCGGAAUUCCAGGUGUAGCGGUGAAAUGCGUAGAUAUCGGGAGGAACACCAGUGGCGAAGGCGACUUCCUGGCCUGUUCUUGACGCUGAGGCGCGAAAGCUAGGGUAGCAAACGGG